AUAGAAGUGAUCAAUCUACUAAUCACCAUGGAAAAGGAACUCCGAAGUAACACUUUGAGGCUAGACUUCCUCAUGUUUCGAGUCCUCUCAUCCUAUAAAAAGUCAUCCAUUCACUCCUACAUCCUAUUUGGCAUGAUGGAAUUGUUGUUUCGAUACUUUUGGUGCGAAGAAAGAAAAUCUUCCUAUGAAGAAAGUGGCGACAAGUCUAUUCCAUCCAUUUGCAAUGAAUAAAUUUGUUUGGGCUCAAAUGGUUUGUUGCAAUGGAGUACCAAGAUGCUCGUUGUCUUUGGAUUUCAUGCCCUUAAACAUAACCACAUUAAACACAUUAAUAUAAAAAAAUUAACAUCAGGAGUGUCCUUUUCCUUUAAUGCGUUACGAUUUCUUUUUGUCAAA
rnacentral:lncRNA from 1 species